CUGUUAUAUAAACCACCUGACCGAAAUAUAAAUACUCGUGGAUUUGAGGUGGUGCUAACUGCUAACAGUGUCACCUCGGCUGAGUCUCUUCUUGCCCGCAUGAAUAUAUACAAACAAGGACAAACACAUAUCAAUCCCAUAUUACACAAUGCUCAGUCACUUUUUCCAUUGGCUUCAAGAUUUUUCACAGCUUCAGCUGCUCAUUUAGCCAAUGCAUAUUCAUCAGAAAAUGAAGAACAAGAAUCAAAUCUUGAUUCUUCAUGUGUAAUUCGAGAUAAAGAUCUUUUACACAAGACCCAGAAUGGUGGGCUUAGGAUUCUUGAGCUAAUUGAUUCUGGGUCGAUUCAGUUAGAGGCGAGUCUUUAUAAUAAGUUAUUGAAUGAGAGUGCUAAAUUGGGGAGGAUUAGAGAGGGGAAAGACGUGCAUCAGCAUUUGUUGAGGUCGAGGUUUAGGGAUUAUCAGGUGGUGUUGAAUUCUGUGGUGAAUAUGUAUGCGAAAUGUGGGUGUUUGGAGGACGCGCGGAAGGUGUUUGAUGAAAUGCCGGUGAGAGAUGUUGUGUCCUGGACUGCGUUGAUCACGGGGUUUUCGCAGCAUGAGAGGUAUGAGGAGGCGUUGGGAUUGUUUUUGGGGUUGUUGAGAGUGGGGUUGGAGCCGAACCAAUUUACGUUUUCGAGUUUGCUUAAGGCUGCUGGGGGGAUGGGGAGUGGGAAAGAAGGGAGGCAGAUUCAUGGGUUUUGUUUGAAGUAUGGGUGUGAUGGGAAUGUGUAUGUGGGGAGUGCACUUGUUGAUAUGUAUGUGAGGUGUGGGUUGAUGGAAGAGGGGGGAGGGGUGUUUCGUGGGUUGUCGAGUAAGAAUGAUGUUUCGUGGAAUGCUUUGAUUGCGGGGCAUGCGAGGAGAGGAGAGGGGGAGGAUGCACUUCGGGUUUUUAAGCAGAUGCAGAAGGAAGAUUUUAGGGCGACACAUUUUACUUAUUCUAGUGUUUUUAGUGCGUGUGCGAGCAUCGGAGCUUUUGAACAGGGUAAGUGGGUUCAUGGACAUAUGAUAAAGUCGGGGUUAAAGCCUGUUGCUUUUGUUGGCAACACGCUUCUUGAUAUGUAUGCAAAAUCGGGUAGUAUUAUGGAUGCUAUAAAAGUUUUUGAUAGACUAGUGAAACGGGACGUUGUUUCUUGGAAUUCUCUGCUAACUGCAUGUGCACAGCAUGGGCGCGGAAGUGACACUAUUAGAUACUUCGAGAAAAUGCUUAAAAUUGGAAUCAAACCUAAUGCUAUUACUUUCCUUUGUCUUCUCACUGCUUGCAGCCAUGCUGGUCUUCUGGAGCAGGGGGAGCAUUACUUUAAUUUGAUGAAGAAGUACGACAUUGAACCAGACACCUCUCACUAUGUGACUGUUGUUGAUCUAAUUGGCCGCGCAGGUGACUUUGAUCGUGCUGUAAUGGUUAUAGAACAUAUGCCAAUCAAACCAGAGGCAGCAGUCUGGAAAGCACUACUUGGGGCCUGUAGGAUGCAUAAGAAUGCUGAGUUGGGUGCUUAUGCUGCUGAACAAGUUUUUAAGCUUGAUCCCAACGAUUCAGGACCUCAUAUAAUCCUGUACAAUAUCUACGCCUCUGCUGGCAGAUGGAAAGAAGCUGCUAAAGCAAGAAAAGCAAUGAGAGAGAGGGGGGUUAAGAAAGAACCUGCCUGUAGUUGGGUAGAGAUUGAGAAUGCUGUCCAUAUGUUCGUGGCAAAUGAUGAUACCCACCCACAAAGAGAAGAAGUCUUCAAGAUGUGGGAAAAGAUUACUUUUGAAAUUAAGAAAAUUGGGUAUGUACCAGACCCGAGUCAUGUCCUUUUGUUCGUGGACCAGCAAGAGCGUGAGGCCAAAUUGCAAUACCAUAGCGAGAAGUUGGCGCUAGCAUUUGCACUACUUAACACUCCUGAUGGAUCUGCCAUUCGGAUUAAAAAGAACAUUAGAGUGUGCGGUGAUUGCCAUUCAGCAUUCAAAUUUGUAUCGAAGUUGGUGGAUAGAGAAAUCAUACUGAGAGACACUAAUCGUUUCCACCAUUUCCGUGAUGGUUCGUGUUCCUGUGGUGACUAUUGGUAGCUAUUGGCACCUGAUAUCCAGUUGUCAGAGAAACAGAAUGACAGCUUGCCAACAGUUAUUUUCUUUCAGUUUAUAGGUGAAUCGCUACUGUAGUGAGAGCAGCUUUCCAGCGAUCUACGACUACCCUAUCAGAAUAAUUUGGAUCCUCAAUGUAUAUGUGGAUAUACAAUAUAUGUUAACCAAUGUUUUGGUGAGUAUUUGCAUAUAAGAUUCUUUAUCUUCCUUCUGUCCGUUACAAAAUAUUUAUGUUUCUAUUUAGCCUGACCGAUUUUAGCUGUAAUCAACUGAUCGCAAGAUUUAUUCUACGCUGAUAGCUGUCACGGUGGAAUGUUGUCUUAUUCUUUUGAAUUUGCUAUUCAAACUUUGGAGCUUGAAUUGGGACUGGAAGAAUUUAUUCAUGGGAGAGACUGAAGAAAGAUAUUGUACAUUGGCUGAAGUCAAUGAUCCUUCACUGUCUUUGAAUGUAGCUUGUUGACAAGUUUGGGAAGAACAACGGUAGAAGUCUGUUUUUCCUAUCUAAAAGUCACUCUCUGUGUUAAGUAGUUGUAGUCCACUUAUGAAAUGCUCGACACUGGUGGUAUCAGCGGCGGGGUGCUCCAGCCUCGACUGACCUUCGAACAACAAUUGAAACUUGGUUCUGCCACUGCUGAGCCAGGCGUCCUUCCUAGAGGCCACUGGCAACCAAAUAUGUCCCUUUUGAAGCAGUUGGAUCUCCUCAACCACCUCUGGGAAAAAGGAAAGAAUAGGAUGAAACCACGUCUCCCAGCACAAGACAAAGCUCAUUCCCGGCUAGGUGUCUUGGCAACUACUACCAUUCAUUCAUCAUCCAACUAAUCAUUAAUUCAUUAUUAUACAUACUUUAUCACUUAUGAUUAUAAUAUUAAUAUAUUCCAUGACUAUGUUUCCCACUAUUGUUAUUAUUAUUGGCCCCAAAAAUAGGUAAAUAUCUCACUCACGUGUGAUGUUUUCUCAUCAUUAUAUUUCUGUAAAGACAAUUUGU